UACGGAGGGUGCAAGCGUUAUCCGGAUUCACUGGGUUUAAAGGGUGCGUAGGAGGGCAGGUAAGUCAGUGGUGAAAUCCCCGAGCUUAACUUGGGAACUGCCGUUGAUACUAUCUGUCUUGAAUAUUGUGGAGGUGAGCGGAAUAUGUCAUGUAGCGGUGAAAUGCUUAGAUAUGACAUAGAACACCAAUUGCGAAGGCAGCUCACUACACAAUCAUUGACGCUGAGGCACGAAAGCGUGGGGAGCAAACAGG
rnacentral:rRNA from 1 species